rnacentral:rRNA from 2 species
UCCUACGGGAGGCAGCAGUAGGGAAUCUUCCGCAAUGGACGAAAGUCUGACGGAGCAACGCCGCGUGAGCGAUGAAGGCCUUCGGGUCGUAAAGCUCUGUUGUUAGGGAAGAACAAGUGCUAGUUGAAUAAGCUGGCACCUUGACGGUACCUAACCAGAAAGCCACGGCUAACUACGUGCCAGCAGCCGCGGUAAUACGUAGGUGGCAAGCGUUGUCCGGAAUUAUUGGGCGUAAAGCGCGCGCAGGCGGUUUCUUAAGUCUGAUGUGAAAGCCCCCGGCUCAACCGGGGAGGGUCAUUGGAAACUGGGAAACUUGAGUGCAGAAGAGGAAAGUGGAAUUCCAAGUGUAGCGGUGAAAUGCGUAGAGAUUUGGAGGAACACCAGUGGCGAAGGCGACUUUCUGGUCUGUAACUGACGCUGAGGCGCGAAAGCGUGGGGAGCAAACAGGAUUAGAUACCCUGGUAGUCCACGCUGUAAACGAUGAGUGCUAAGUGUUAGAGGGUUUCCGCCCUUUAGUGCUGAAGUUAACGCAUUAAGCACUCCGCCUGGGGAGUACGGUCGCAAGACUGAAACUCAAAGGAAUUGACGGGGGCCCGCACAAGUGGUGGAGCAUGUGGUUUAAUUCGA